rnacentral:sRNA from 1 species
UAAACAAAUUAUUGCAAAAUCUCGGAUACAUACCCCUUGAUCCAAGUAAGAUGACGAUAAUAUAUUUUUUAGGUUGUCCCUUUAAAUUACAAAGACUAAGUCUCUAAAGACUUAUUAUUUUUCAAAACGACUUCAACAUAUUAUAAAGAACAAAAACAAUUAAUGUAAUAAAUCUGACUAGCUGUUCGUGAUUUCUUGUGGCAGUUGGAAAAGAGAGAACCUGAUGAUCCAUGUUCUUAUUUGCUUGCUAUUUAGAUGCUAGGUGAUUUAAUGAUCUGCAUAUCUUUUAACCAACCAAAUCAUGUCACGUCACCACCGCGUUUUGCUUAAAAGCACCUUCUAUCUUAGAGCACCUCUAAACUAAAUUGCUCAAUUAACAUUUAAAUUUAAUCAUUUACAAUCUAAGAUAGGCUCUAUGAUGAUGUUGUUUGCUCGAUUGCUAGGAUUGCUUCGUCCUAUCCAUUUAUCUACUGUUUUUGUGUCGUUCGCUUGGCGUCUGUUGCAGCGUUUUUAUUAGCCUUGAUGGCUUUGUAUUCUUCGUUUAUAACCAAUUCCUCAUUUGAUGGAGAGUAACAUUUUAUAACAAAAAAAUGUUUUCUGACCAAAAAAC